CUUAAGCGGAGGGUGUGUUCCUCUUUGUCACCUACCCGGGUGCUCGCGCCGCGCGUGGGCGAGCGGCAGGCACCCGGCAGCGCCGCGGCACCCGAGCCAGUGGCCACCUCCCCGGCCCGCGAUCCGCCUCUGGGGCCAAGACUGCGGCCCGAGGUCCGGAAGCGGCGUCCGGCGCUGUCACUGUGCCGGGUGGGAUGGGAGGAAGCGGGGGGGAAGGGCACAGCGGGGUGGGGGAGGCGAGGGGGAGCCGCGCGCACAGCCGCGCAGCCCGGGUCCGCGGAGGUGAGAGAAAGGUGCAAAGGGCGGCCCGGAGCCCGGAGGCCCCCGAGCUCCUGCUAUUGUUGCCGGGGCUGCCGAGGGCCCGAUCCCACCCGCCGCCCGCCUCCUCCGGGCAGGACCCCGCGGGCACGCAACCCGCCUCCACCCGCGCCCCCCCGGCGGGUGGGCCCCGAGAGCCCGGACUCGCACAAGUUGCCGCCCGCCCGCCCCGCCGCGGUCAUUGUUCGCCCCGCGCCUCCUACCUCCACGGCGCCGGCGGCUCCGGCUCCCACUCCGGGCCUCCGGGCUCAGCAGCUCCGAGCCCCUGGCUGCCGAGGGCGCGGCGGCUCCGGGCUGCGCGUGCAGCGGGGGCGCUCGGCUAUUAAUACCCGCGGGCGGCGGCGGCGCGGGAGCGCGAGCGGGGCUGGCGGUGGCCGGCCGAGGUCCGAGCCAUCAAAGGUGGCGCGGGGCGGAGGGGAGGGCGGAGCAGGCGGGGUGGGUGGGGAGCGGGCUCAGGGUCGCCAUGGCCGCCUCGACGCCCGGCCGAGUGCCACUCGCGCGGGGAGGAGCGGCGCAAAGCGGGCGGCGGCCGCGUCUCCGCCCCGCGCCCCAGCCGAGCGCCCGCAGCCCUGCGCCCGCGCGGGACCCGCCGCCUCCGAGGCCGGCGAGCGGGAAGUGAAGGCGAUCGCGCCCCUCCCCGGGCCUGGGCCAGCCCCUCGGCGGCGGGGGGGAGCUUGGGCGCCGCGCCGCCGGAGCCGCGGGGACAGCGGGAGAGCCACAGCCCCCUCCAGCGUCCGGGCCGGCGACCUGCGCGCCAGCGUGCCCCGCCCCGCUCCGCCCUGGGGGGCAGCCAGAACCCGAGUCUCUGCGCUGCGCCACCGAACCCAGCGCAGGAAGCGCUAAGGAGAGCGCUGCGCCACCAGGGACACGCCAAUCCUGCUGCUGUGGUUGAAAGCGAUCUAAGGAGAGCGGGAGACGAGCGCACCGGCUUAACCAGGAGCUGCUGCAGGGCGGUCGGCGGCGCGGACUCUGCAACUCACUGGCUGAGGUCAUGCAAGGGGGUGCCUGUGUGCCCACCUAGGACUUUACGUUGUCGCGCGGGAAGCGGCGAUUUGCAGGGACCCACGAGCACCUUCCCCUCCCAAGCCACACGAGCGGGCUUCCGGCACCACCCUGGGCUGCGAGCGACUUAAUCCCGAAGGGGCGGUUGCCACCUCCCCCCGCCACGGCCCAGUGUUUUCCACCCAGGCGAUUCCCAGUACAGUCCCCACCUCCCCACCCCCACCCCCCACUUGCCC
rnacentral:lncRNA from 1 species